GAGCCUGUGAAAGAAAGGGCGAUAACGAUUAACGAUUAUCGAUUAACGAUUAGCGUUCAGCAUUCGCAAGUUUGACUUUGCUCAAGUGGCUCGUAAUCCACAUCAAGAUCAGUUGCUCAGCGACUGUCAGUCCACAAAUAGAAAGUGGCCUAGAUAAAGACGUCUCAUAUCUCUGACAAUGACAACGUACACCCACACCCACACCCUCACCCACAUAGACAUAUGGACAUCAUAUCAGCCUGGUAUCGGAGUUGUCAUCGUUGUUUAAUUUGGUGUUUGGGUCUCUAUCUCAUUGACUUUGGCAAUUCUUGCGCACUUCAGAGCGAAUGAGUGAGAGAGAGAGAGAGAGAGAGAAUGGGCGAUCCCUCAAUUUGUACAUCGAUUAUCUAUAAUGGGGCCCCACUGUACUGUGCCACGGCAUGGCGCGUGAAGUGCGCGUUCGCAGCUCACCUGUAGAUCGAAUUACACGAUUGUAUUUGAUUGCUUGUAGUUAUGCAGCCUGUGCAAACAAUGUCGUCGAAUCGAAUACCUCGCGGCAACUAUUCGAAAUAUUUCUGAUAUUUUGUUUACUUGCUAUAUUAAUUUUUUUUUCUGCAUUUGGUUUUGUAUUUAUUUCGAAAGAUGUGACUUGUUCAGCUGUUGCUUAUCAAAUAAAUAGACAAAACAACAGAACAACGAUUCCCCGAACCAGACUAGACAUUUGAGAUGACAUUUAACUCAGCGCCAAAAGUUUCAACCAAAUGAU